UCUGAAAGUAAAAUGUCCCGUUUAAUCGCUCAUCUAUUGAUCGCUGUAAUAGUGCUGAGUUUCAUAAUCGGGCGACA